rnacentral:rRNA from 1 species
AGACGUCUACAUUAGACUACCCCGGUAGUCCCAGCCGUAAACUAUGCUCGCUAGGUGUCAGGCAUGGCGCGACCGUGUCUGGUGCCGCAGGGAAGCCGUGAAGCGAGCCACCUGGGAAGUACCGGCCGCAAGGCUGAAACUUAAAGGAAUUGGCGGGGGAGCACAACAACGGGUGGAGCCUGCGGUUUAAUUGGACUCAACGCCGGACAACUCACCGGGGACGACAGCAAUAUGUAGGCCAGGCUGAAGACCUUGCCUGAAUCGCUG